CACGUAGGGCGCGAGCGUUGUCCGGAAUCAUUGGGCGUAAAGAGCUCGUAGGCGGCUCGGUAAGUCGGGUGUGAAACCCCCAGGCUCAACCUGGGGACGCCACCCGAUACUGCUGUGGCUAGAGUCCAGUAGGGGAGUGUGGAAUUCCCGGUGUAGCGGUGAAAUGCGCAGAUAUCGGGAGGAACACCAGCGGCGAAGGCGGCACUCUGGGCUGGAACUGACGCUGAGGAGCGAAAGCGUGGGUAGCAAACAGG
rnacentral:rRNA from 1 species